AUUGAACGCUGGCGGUAUGCUUAACACAUGCAAGUCGAACGGUAACGAUGCUAGCUUGCUAGCAGGCGACGAGUGGCGGACGGGUGAGUAACACGUGGGAAUCUACCGAGUAGCGGGGGAUAGCCCGGAGAAAUCCGGAUUAAUACCGCAUAAGCACUACGGUGUAAAGGGGGCCUCUUCUUGAAAGCUUCCACUAUUCGAUGAGCCUGCGUCAGAUUAGCUAGUUGGUGGGGUAAUGGCCUACCAAGGCGACGAUCUGUAGCUGGUCUGAGAGGAUGAUCAGCCACACUGGGACUGAGACACGGCCCAGACUCCUACGGGAGGCAGCAGUGGGGAAUAUUGGACAAUGGGGGCAACCCUGAUCCAGCAAUACCGCGUGUGUGAAGAAGGCCUUCGGGUUGUAAAGCACUUUCAGCGAGGAGGAAAAGCUAGUAGUUAAUACCUGCUGGCCUUGACGUUACUCGCAGAAGAAGCACCGGCUAACUCCGU
rnacentral:rRNA from 1 species